rnacentral:lncRNA from 1 species
UAAUAUUAUUAUAUUUUUUUUUUUUUUCCGCCUAAUUUUUUUUCUUGCGUAUUAUUGAUGUUUCAAAAGAUGUCGCUUAGAUAUUUGGAAUAUGGUAUCGUAUAGUUUAUACGCUUUAAAAAUUUACAACUGUGUAACAAAAUACUUUACGUUGUAAGAGUUAUCUCCCCAAACACUGUUUUUCUUGUGGCCACUACUCCUUCGCAACCAUUAAAGAUUACGACAAAUUUAUUUUACCAAAUUGCUCGUUACAUCUUCAGGAUUAGGAUAUUCAUUUGGACCGAAGCUUUACGGAGACUCCAUAUGAGAGUUAUUCCCCCUUUUCCCUUAAAUUAAGUGAUAUGCAUUUCUAAAUGGUAAACCAUAAGUGAUAAAGACAUAGGGUCUUUAGAUUUGGGGUCCUUGGUCGAAAAUAAUAAAAAUGAGGUCAAGGUCAAAGGUCAAGGUCAUAUUCUAAAUUUUGAUUUUGGCUUAUUUUCAUUUAUUUUCAAAUACCUUAUGACAUAUCGACAAAUAAUUUUUCAUAAAUUGUUAGUUGCGACAUGUCCUUACUUGUAUAUUUUGAUUGAAAGGGUGCGCAGACAAUAAAUAGGAGUUUUUGCCCAUCUUACAUUUAGAAUUACGCGUAAAGUGAUAUUACUAAUAAACCAAACAUAUUAAAGACCUUGGGUCUUUUGAUUUAAGGUCCUUGGUUUGUGAACUUGAAAUUGAGGUCAAGGUCAUAGGUUAAUAUGACGUUCUAGAUUUUGACCUUUGCUUUAAAUUCAUAUAAAUACAUCAUACAGCCAUAGGAACUAACAUUUUAAACUGAUUUUUAAUAUUUCAAUAUCAAAAAAGAUCUUUUCUAGUGGAAAGACCUACAAUUGUUCUCUGAACAAUUGG